rnacentral:rRNA from 1 species
GGAAGGGGCAAGCGUUGUUCGGAAUUAUUGGGCGUAAAGGGCGCGUAGGUGGUCUUGUAUGUCUAUCGUGAAAGCACACGGCUCAACCGUGUAGAGUCGGUGGAAACUGCGAGACUUGAGGUUGGGAGGGGCUGGUGGAAUUCCCUGUGUAGCGGUGAAAUGCGUAGAGAUGGGGGAGAACACUUGUGGCGAAGGCGGCCAGCUGGACCAAAUCUGACACUGAGGCGCGACAGCGUGGGGAGCAAACAGGAUUAGAUACCCUGGUAGUCCACGCCGUAAACGAUGGGCACUAGGUGCUGGCGGUAUUGAUCCCGUCAGUGCCGGCGCUAACGCAGUAAGUGCCCCGCCUGGGGAGUACGGUCGCAAGGCUG